GGGGUCGUAUUGGUUUUGACAGCAUAGGUUACGGUUGGUGUAAGCAUGCAGUGCGUUGUGUAAUUAGCACUUUAAUCUGAAUGCUCAAACUUCAAAUGGCAAUACACAGUAUGCCAUGGCUGCUUAAUCAGUGAUUAGGUAACCAUUUGGGCCGCCGCACAGGUUCGCUUCUUUCCAUGUGCCGCCGCCGACUCAAAACAAAAGAAGACGCUGCAACAGAAGGCUGUGACUGUUGCCUAAGCCCAUCCAGCUAAGCGCAAGGUUGGUUUGUUCCUGUCCUGCAUUGUGCCGACAAAUAAUCAGGAAAUAAGCAUGUAGAAAGCUAAUGGUAGCGAUGUUUGGACGCGGGUUCGACUCCCGCCGACUCCACAG
rnacentral:tmRNA from 1 species